rnacentral:rRNA from 1 species
GAUGAACGCUGGCGGCGUGCCUAAUACACGCAAGUCGAGCGAACAGAUGAGGAGCUUGCUCCUCUGACGUUAGCGGCGGACGGGUGAGUAACACGUGGAUAACCUACCUAUAAGACUGGGAUAACUUCGGGAAACCGGAGCUAAUACCGGAUAAUAUAUUGAACCGCAUGGUUCAAUAGUGAAAGACGGUUUUGCUGUCACUUAUAGAUGGAUCCGCGCCGCAUUAGCUAGUUGGUAAGGUAACGGCUUACCAAGGCGACGAUGCGUAGCCGACCUGAGAGGGUGAUCGGCCACACUGGAACUGAGACACGGUCCAGACUCCUACGGGAGGCAGCAGUAGGGAAUCUUCCGCAAUGGGCGAAAGCCUGACGGAGCAACGCCGCGUGAGUGAUGAAGGUCUUCGGAUCGUAAAACUCUGUUAUUAGGGAAGAACAAAUGUGUAAGUAACUAUGCACGUCUUGACGGUACCUAAUCAGAAAGCCACGGCUAACUACGUG